GUCCACGCCGUAAACGGUGGGCACUAGGUGUGGGAUUCACUCAACGGAUUCCGUGCCGCAGCUAACGCAUUAAGUGCCCCGCCUGGGGAGUACGGCCGCAAGGCUAAAACUCAAAGGAAUUGACGGGGGCCCCGCACAAGCGGCGGAGCAUGUUGCUUAAUUCGAGGCAACGCGAAGAACCUUACCUAGGUUUGACAUGUACGGAAAAGCUACAGAGAUGUGGUGUCCUUCGGGGCCGUACACAGGUGGUGCAUGGCUGUCGU
rnacentral:rRNA from 1 species